rnacentral:rRNA from 1 species
AGCGGCGGACGGGUGAGUAAUGCUUAGGAAUCUGCCAUUUAGUGGGGGACAACAUUCCGAAAGGAAUGCUAAUACCGCAUACGUCCUACGGGAGAAAGCAGGGGAUCUUCGGACCUUGCGCUAAAUGAUGAGCCUAAGUCGGAUUAGCUAGUUGGUGGGGUAAAGGCCUACCAAGGCGACGAUCUGUAGCGGGUCUGAGAGGAUGAUCCGCCACACUGGGACUGAGACACGGCCCAGACUCCUACGGGAGGCAGCAGUGGGGAAUAUUGGACAAUGGGCGGAAGCCUGAUCCAGCCAUGCCGCGUGUGUGAAGAAGGCCUUUUGGUUGUAAAGCACUUUAAGCGAGGAGGAGGCUACCUAGAUUAAUACUCUGGGAUAGUGGACGUUACUCGCAGAAUAAGCACCGGCUAACUCUGUGCCAGCAGCCGCGGUAAUACAGAGGGUGCGAGCGUUAAUCGGAUUUACUGGGCGUAAAGCGUGCGUAGGCGGCUUUUUAAGUCGGAUGUGAAAUCCCCGAGCUUAACUUGGGAAUUGCAUUCGAUACUGGGAAGCUAGAGUAUGGGAGAGGAUGGUAGAAUUCCAGGUGUAGCGGUGAAAUGCGUAGAGAUCUGGAGGAAUACCGAUGGCGAAGGCAGCCAUCUGGCCUAAUACUGACGCUGAGGUACGAAAGCAUGGGGAGCAAACAGGAUUAGAUACCCUGGUAGUCCAUGCCGUAAACGAUGUCUACUAGC